UACGGAGGAUGCAAGCGUUAUCCGGAUUUAUUGGGUUUAAAGGGUGCGUAGGUGGGCCUGUAAGUCAGUGGUGAAAGUUUGCAGCUUAACUGUAAAAUUGCCGUUGAAACUGCCGGUCUUGAGUGCAAAUGAGGUAAGCGGAAUGUGUUGUGUAGCGGUGAAAUGCUUAGAUAUGACACAGAACACCGAUUGCGAAGGCAGCUUACUGGGAUGCCACUGACACUGAGGCACGAAAGCGUGGGUAUCAAACAGGAUUAGA
rnacentral:rRNA from 1 species